rnacentral:sRNA from 1 species
UAACCAGUAUCUAGAUUCUUCAAUAUAACAGAUAGAUUUGGAAGUUCAAGGUCGGUUGUAUCAAGAAUGUUAUAUUUCAACAAUAUCUACAGGCGUUAGAACAAUACUUCAAGCAAAAUGGAAGAGCAAAAGGAGCAGAUCAAAUAAGAGAUGUGUAGAAGUUAUAAAGGCAAACAAACAGACAACACAACACAGUGACCAGCAAAUAAACUACCCAUCAAUCAAUAUGACGAAUAAGCGGAAAAAAAUAAAUUUCAAAAUAUGAAAAGGCACAGUAUUCAAGGAAAAUGACAAAGAUAGCCUCCCCCAGUUAUAUAUAGUUCCACUUUAGAUUUUCCUUCAUAAGCCAGAAAAGUGAAUGUUUUUUCUUGUAAAAAAAAGACAGAGAGAGACACACAUGACAUGGGAUGAAAAAAAAAAAAACUAAAAAAAUGCACCAUGGGUUGUGUUAAAAACACAUUGUUUUUGUCAAAAAAAGAAAAAGAAGGCAAAUAUCCACCCAUGACAUUUAACUCAAAUAUAAUGAAUGAGAGAAAGAAAUGAUAAAAACAGCAAA